UACGGAGGGGGCAAGCGUUAUCCGGAUUCGCUGGGCUUAAAGGGUGCGUAGGAGGGCAGGUAAGUCAGUGGUGAAAUCUUCGAGCUUAACUCGGAAACUGCCGUUGAUACUAGCUGUCUUGAAUCCCGUGGAGAUGAGCGGAAUAUGUCAUGUAGCGGUGAAAUGCUUAGAUAUGACAUAGAACACCAAUAGCGAAGGCAGCUCGCUGGGACGGUACUGACGCUAAGGCGCGAAAGCGUGGGGAGCGAACAGG
rnacentral:rRNA from 1 species